AUGCCCCUACGGGACACAGCAGUGGGGAAUAUUGGGCAAUGGGCGCAAGCCUGACCCAGCAACGCCGCGUGAAGGAAGAAGGCCCUCGGGUUGUAAACUUCUUUUGUCAGGGACGAAGAAAGUGACGGUACCUGACGAAUAAGCCACGGCUAACUACGUGCCAGCAGCCGCGGUAAUACGUAGGUGGCAAGCGUUAUCCGGAUUUACUGGGUGUAAAGGGCGUGUAGGCGGGAGAGCAAGUCAGACGUGAAAUUCCAGGGCUCAACCCUGGAACUGCGUUUGAAACUGUUCUUCUUGAGUGAUGG
rnacentral:rRNA from 1 species